AGUGAAAUGGCUGAGGAAGCCUUAAUCCAUAAUCUAAAGACAGAGGUUGAACCCUCUUUUUACUG
rnacentral:tRNA from 1 species